ensembl:snoRNA SNORD23 small nucleolar RNA, C/D box 23
UGCCCAGUGAUGACACCCAUCCUUGCUCCCCGUGUCCGCCAGGGACUGUGGGCGACACCACGGCUACCCCCAGGCGGGGCCAGUGGGGCUAAUGCCUGGGGGCUGAGGGCA